GCGUUUGAUUGUUAAGACAGCAAUGACUGUGCCUGAUCCUGACCCAAUAAAAGGAGCAGACUACCACAUCCAUGACAGCUGGAAAGUGCAGCUAGCGUCAGCACUAGAGAGGUUCACGGAGGGUCUCCGUCGCGGCCGCUCGGUGCACCCCGGUGGACAGAUGUGGAUGGGGAGAGGGGGACAGAUGAGGAAUGGUCUUGGCUUGUCACCAGGGCAAUGUGUAAGGCUGGCCGGCCAGUCGGCUCGCAGCUUGCGCCUGCAUUCCCCUUCGCUUAAUUAGGGGUUGUUGGUACCACAGAAGGUGUCACCAACCUUUUCAGUCCAAUAACAGAUGGUGUUCUUUUUUUUGAGGUCCUGCCAAAGCCCACUGUCCCACUCCUGGGAAAAUGACCUAACUCGCAGGCAGCUGCUUAGUGCGGCUUGAGUGCCUCUUAAAAGAGACUUCUAUCAGGGAAUUAGCAGGACAUACCACUGCAGCCCGAGGGGUGUGAGUUUGAGAUGAGUCCACCUUUAAUCGCCCUCUCUAAGCUGUUCUAAGGGCCAGGCUUGUUGUUCACAUUGAAAUCCAAGGGACACUAUGGAUGAGGUGGAAGGAUGGUCGACACACUGACUGUUUUACGUGGCUCGGAAAGGCUCGCCGCUCCCCCUCCCAAAGCAGAUGGUGUGUAUAACAACACAGAAUGUGGUCCAGGGGAGGUCAGGGAGGGACAAAAAGUGAAAGGGUCCCCAGACAGUUGGGGGAAGAAAAGGCCUGCGGAGCGUAAGGGAGGAGCCAGGGGACGAGAGAGAGAAGAAAGGGGGAGAGAAAGAGAGAAAUUUUUCAAAGAACUGGUCAGUGAGAGGCUAAAAGAGGAGGCAGAGAGCGUCGGGCCGCAGAUGCGAUACGUGGGAAGGCAGGAGGUCGGAGCUUUACAAGCUGCAUGCUGGGUGGUGGAAAGGGUUUUACUAUUAACUUGGAGACUUGUAGCUGACAGAAAAACCUGUGCAGGAGCAUGUGCAGGUGGCAGAUAA
ensembl:lncRNA